AAGAUUUCGGCAUUAUAUAUAGUAAAAUUGGAAUGAUAUAGAGAUUAGUGUGGCUCCUGCGCAAUGAUGACACGCAAGUUUUUUUAAGCAUUCCAUACGGGAUUUUU
rfam:Octopus bimaculoides Scaffold20748_contig_93, whole genome shotgun sequence.